rnacentral:lncRNA from 1 species
UUAUGUGCCUAGAUGUGUGUGUGCGUGCCUUCAGGGGUCUGUGUGCACAUGUGUGUUUGUAUUUGCGUGUGCUUUUGAGUUGAGUGCGUGUGUGUGUGUGUGUGUGUCUUUGGGCAGGGAGAGGCUGGCUGAUCCCACACUCGCUCACUCUCCUCCUUACUAUGGCCGUGGCUGGGGCCCAGCCCAGUCCCUUUGGAGACUCAUUCCUAAUGCUGGGGCAUGGACUGGCAGGUCGCCACCCACAGUCUGGGCUGUCGCUGGGUCCUGAGUCUGGCUCUGAGACUCUGUGUCUUCUGCUUCCCUCCUCUCAUGCUGGGACCAGCUGGAGCCACCCACAGCCCACAUGGAGCCCCAGCCAGGCUGUGGACAGCCCCCGGGCCUGCUGCUCAAGACUGUGCUGGGUACAGCCAGGCUCUGGGGCCAGCAGCACUGCUCCACAGACCCCCACUAAGGAACACAAGUGGAGGCAAGGGUUCGGAGGACACCCCCUCUGCAUGCCCAGACAGGGCUGCAAGGCACAGGGGAUAUCCCCAACCCAGCGCUGCUCCUGCCUUUCUGCCCUGUGUGACCCCGAGCAGCUCACGCACCCUCCUGGGCUCUGGGGUGGUUCUGUGUGCUUGCCUGGCAGAGAAGGGGUUCUGAGAGGCCC